GACGAACGCUGGCGGCGUGCUUAACACAUGCAAGUCGAGCGGUAAGGCCCUUUCGGGGGUACACGAGCGGCGAACGGGUGAGUAACACGUGGGUGACCUGCCCUCAGCUCUGGGAUAAGCCUGGGAAACCGGGUCUAAUACUGGAUAUGACUCCAUGACGCAUGUUGUGGGGCGGAAAGCCUUGUGCGGCUGAGGAUGGGCCCGCGGCCUAUCAGCUUGUUGGUGGGGUGANGGCCUACCAAGGCGACGACGGGUAGCCGGCUUGAGAGGGCGACCGGCCACACUGGGACUGAGACACGGCCCAGACUCCUACGGGAGGCAGCAGUGGGGAAUCUUGCGCAAUGGGCGAAAGCCUGACGCAGCGACGCCGCGUGAGGGAUGACGG
rnacentral:rRNA from 1 species